AGUGGGGGCGCUGCGGAGAGCCGAGAGCUACCGGCGGACUCGACGUGCCCCGCCGCGGGGUGGUGCUCUGAUUGCGGCAACCGUUGAAGGGCUGCCCCGGAAGAGGCGGCGAGGCGCCACUGAGGUCCCUUAUACAUCUUCUCAAGUAUAUUCUACACUAAGAGGAAUGACAGCACCCUUUUCCUGAGCUAUGGCAGUCAGACCUGGUAGCAGCACCUUCUCUACAGAACCCUCAAACCUGGCAAGGAUGGUUCAGAUUUUGGCAGAUUAUGGAAGCCCCACCCAGCACUGAUGUUACCAGCAAAGGCAGGAAUCAUUAAUGGAUCAUACAACUAAUGCAUGAAGAGUUGAUGACAAGAAGGAUAUUUUUACAGCCUCAGAACACCAUCUCACACGAUACUUACUAAUCACUCAUGGAAAAAAAUAGCAACUUUACGGUGGAUACACUACCUGAUCAAGUUGUCAAAGUUAACUUUAUUAGUAUGGGGCAAAUAGACAUCAUGCAUCCUAGUAGGAUGCACUGAGAAGAGCAUAACAUCGCUUCUGUGGUAUUCCUGUAAAAAUAUACAACCAGAAUUUAGGCAUGAAGAAACAUUACUCAAACCAAAUUGAGGGAAGUUUCACAAAAUAAAUGGCCUGUACUCUUCAAAAUGUCAAGGUCAAGAAAAACAAAGAAUGAAUUUGUUCCAGAUCAAAGAAGACUAAAGAGAUUGGACAAUUAAAUACAAUGUAUGACCCUGGGAUAGAUCAUGGGCCAAGACAGAAACAAUUAUAUUAUUUUUAUUUUAUUAUUUGAUUCUAUUUUUGUCAUAAAGGACAUUAGUAGAACAAUUGGCAAAAUGUGAAGGUUUCUAGAUUGUAUUGUAACAUCCUUAUUUUGAUUAUGUGGUGUGUGUUUUUUUAUUUUUAAGGAAAUACUUUAAAAUAUUUAGGAGUCAAGGGGAAUGAUAUUUGCAGGUUAUCAAGUUCUGAAAAAAUCUGUAGAGGAAGGAGAGACCGAUAAAGUAAAUGUGGUAAAAUGUUAAGUUUGGGGAAUCUGAGUAAAGUGUGUAUGGAAAUUCUUUGUACUUUUUAAAAAAUGAACUUUUUAUUUUGGAAUAAUUUAAGAUUUACAAAAAAGUUGAAAAGAUAGUACACCCCUCACCCAAUUUCAGUUUCCUCUAAUGUCAUUUUAAAUUACUGUGAUACAUUUUUCAGAACUAAGAUACCAACAUUGGUAUAUUACUAUUAACUAAAGCCCAGACUUUAUUCAGAUUUCACCCAUUUUCCAUGAAUGUUCCUCCAAACUCCAGACUUUAAUUACAAUUCACAAUUUUUUCUUUAAUGUCCUUUUUCUGCUCCAAGAUCCAAUCCAGGGUGUACCCCAUUGCAUUUAUUCAUCAUCUCUCUCCAGUCUCCCCUGAUCUCUGUCAGUUUCUCAGUCACUCCUUAUUUUUCGUGACUUUGAUAGUUUGGGGGAGUACUGGUGAAAUAUUUAUAGGAUGUCCUCCCAGUUUUGGUUUGUUUUAUGUAUUUCUCAUGAUUAGAUUGGGUUAAUGGGUUUUUAGAAAUAAUACUAAAGAGGUAAAGUACCCUUCUCAUCCCAUUAUAUCUGGGAGUAGAUGCUCUCUACAGGGUAUCUAUCUGGUGAAGUAAACCAUGAUAUCUUGGUGAAGGUAGUAUCUGCCAGGUUUCUCCUCUCUAAAGUUCCAGUUUUUCCCACUCUAUUUGGAAGAGAGUCACUAAGUUCAGCCCACUCAAAAGCAGGGUCAGGGGCUGGAGGACAGAUUAAAGGUUAAACUUUACCUCCUACGUGGGAUAGUUUCUAUAUAUAUUAUUUGGAUUCCUCUGUAAGGAAGAUUUGUCUCUUCUCCCCUGUUUGUUUAUCAUUUAUUUACGUUUGUAUGGACUUGUGUAUAUUUAUUUUAUUCUUUGGGUUAUAAUCUGAUACAUUUUUAAUUUUGUCUCAUAGUUCCAGCUUUGACCAUUUGGAGUUCUGGUAGACUCCUGUGGCCUUUUGAAAUGUCUCCAUCCUUUUGGUUUGUGAGCAGUUUCUUGCUUUCUGGUACUGCAAAAUGUUCUGCCUUGUCUUGUGUUUUCCCUGCUCUAGCCCUACAAUUGAUUACUUCUCCAGAGCUCUUGUUCCUUUUAUUAGAGAUUGAUAUUUAGAAACCAGGAUCUUGGCACUGAAUUGUUUGUACUAUUUCAUAACUUUUCUGUAAGUCUGAAAUCAUUUCAAUAUAAAAAGUAAGAAAAAAAGUUAAAAGUUGGAAGAUGCAUAUCCUAUUUGUUAUUCUUCAGUGUUCUAUCUUAGUUAAGCUGUUAUGUCAGUUACCAAAUGUUACAUUUUUAAAUUUGUAGAUGCUUAUUUUUUAUAAAUAAAAAUUAUAUUUUACUUGGU